GCAAAAGUGCUUUGCUCCCAAAUCAUAUAUUCAGACGGCGCUAUAUUUGGCUCCGGCGUCUUUUUUUGUUGAUGAUGCAGUUGUAGAUGAAAGAGACUUUGGAAUUAGCCUCAGCGUUUAGGGAGUGUUUUUCCCUUUAAGCGCUCUGAAUCUGAAGACGGAUACUCUUCACAGCUCUCUGCUCGACGAGCUAAUCCAGUCUGAUGCUAAACUCCUAAUCUGAGGCAGACAGCACAUCGUCUCCAACAAACCCAAAAUGUAUGGAUUAAUGCGUAAGAGACAACAUGCAUAAUAACAGCAGCGUUUCAAACACUAAACAUAGAACAGGAAGUGAGAAUACAGGGGGGUAGUCCACAGGAAGUUGGUGUUUUUGUUGUACGUCCCACAGUAGUUCCUACAGCCUGUUUACAGCUCCUGUCUGUUCAUCUCAUAUAGAAACUAUUACUGCAGACUGAUGCAUCUAUCCACAGUGACAGGUGCAUUAAAGUAAUAUAAAAAGACUGACUUCAGUGGCUGGGAGAGGUGUCCUCCUCACCUUGAGGUCUCUGUGGAUGACGGGCGUCUUGCAUUGGUGCAGGCGGGCCACGGCCUCGCAGCUGUCACAGAAGAUGUGGAGGACCUCGGCCUCAGUGAAGCCAACGUUCAACCGCUGGUUCAUCUGCUUCACCACCUGACCCGCUGCAGGAGAGACGUGGAAGGAAAAAGCUUCAGGUCAACAGUUCAAGCUGGGAGACCAAGCAGCAGCCAGCAUGUUUGGUGUUUUGUCCAGGGAUGUUUAUAUUAUAGACAGAUAUUAUAAAAUGAAACUUCGAUGAAGCUGAAUUGAUUGAGUAUAAAACGGUUUCAGAACACGUGUGUAUUUACAAACAGAGAUGUUGUACCUUUACAGUAUUCCAUGAGGAUCAGGACCUCCCAGACGCUGUCCGACACCGCGUUGAUUGUGGAGUCCAGGUAGCCGACGAUGUUCUUAUGGCCCGACAGCUCCUUCUACACACGGGAGGAAAAGAUGGGACUGAUCAGGACAGAAAAACACACAAGCAUUCAAGAAGAAGAAUGCAUCUCUAGAAUUAAGGAAAUAACUCCGACUACACAAGCCUCAAAAAACACAAGGAAGCAUGAGAAGAGAGGCUUGUCGUGUGUUGUGAAAAAACGACACACCUACUGUACUGGAAGGAAACGUCCCAACAGGCCAGAACUGUGUCAAUGUUUAAGGUCAGCUGUGUGGGUGAGUAUUACACAGCCAAUGAGGCAAGUGAACAGAAACACAAAGGCUAGCCAAACAGCUCAGAGUAGUGAGCUGUUCACUGACACACUGGGCUCAAACGUUCAAGACGAGACAUCUGCUGUUGUCCAAGUUCGUACAUGUCUGGUCGGCUACAGAAUAAAUGACAAUAUCUAACUUUGAAUGGCAUAAAACACCUUGAAUUAUCUGAGUAAUCACGCGAGUGCCAGCUCUGUGUAAUACAUCAAAAGUCUUAGUCAAUGGGCCAGGUGCAUUAAUACAAUGUCACCCAGCACACAGCCAAGAGGCUUUAGUUCUUGCCAGACUGGAAAUGCUGGCAAACAGGGCGGGUUAGGGAAAGUGGAAUGAAGCCAUUUACAUGCACCUUGCUUUAUGAGAACAUGCGUCUUUUAUGAGGGCCUGUGUCCCUUUUCAAACACGAAUUAUGUCCUUAGAUUUAACACCUGAAAACGGAGAAUGCCCUUAUGAAAUAUUCAGAUAAUGAGCACAGUGUCUUUAGGUGUAAAUUAAAGUCUUUGUGCACAAAAAAGUGAGAGAAAUCAGGGAAGGAAACGCAGCUAAAACCAAGAAUCAGUUUGACACUGCAAAAGAGCAGAGGAAUAAAAUGGUGUGGAGAUCAGCAAAAUUAUGAGGUCAUUUUAUUUUCCGUUUUCAGUAAAGGUUUCUAAUCUAGCAUUACCACUAGAGGUCGACCAAUAGUGGAUUUUUAAAGGCCGAUAUAAUAACAAUAGUUUACUUUUGUAAAUAGGGCUGCCAUUAUUUUCAGUGUUGAUUAUUUUCUUGAUUAAUCAAUUAGUUGUUUGGUCUAGAAAAUGUCAGAAAAUGGUGACAAAUGUCGAUCAGUGUUUCCCAAAGCCCAAAGAUGACGUCCUCAAAUGCC